UUGUACUAUGCUGGGAGGGCAUAUCCGCCGAAUUUAAGCAUAUAAUUAAGCGGAAGAAAAGAAAAUAACAAUGAUUCCUUUAGUAACGGCGAGUGAACAAGGAUUAGCUCAAAAGGAAAAUCCGCUUCGUUGUGCAAACUACGGUGUGGAAUUGUCUGGUUGGGGUUUAAUCCUCCCUAUUUUUUUGUUGGGUACGAAAUGAGUAGGAAUACUAUUCCUUAGAGGGUGAAAGGCCCGUAGUUCCCUUCAUUUAUAGGUGGAUUUUUCCCCGUCGAGUCGUGUUCUUUGAGAUUGGAGCACAAAUUCGUGUGAUACAUUUCACAUAAAGCUAAAUAUUUGUAGGAGACCGAUAGCAAACAAGUACCGUGAGGGAAAGAUGAAAUAGUACUCAGGAAUGAGGCUUAAAUAGUACCUGAAAUCGUUAAGAUGGAACGGAUUAAGAGAGAAAUAACGUAAGAUGGGAUUUAUUUUCUCUGCUCUCAGCACGUUUUAAUUCCUAUCUUAUUAAAAGGAGCAUCAGUGAACUAUAGCAUUUGCAUUUUAGUUAACUCGUUAUCUUUGCUCUUGCAAAGAUUUCAUAUCUAUUUCCGCUAAUUUGGUUGUAGAACUAACUAUUUUUGCUUGCUACAUUUGCUGAGGACCCCCAAUGGCGGGGCAAUGCCCCGCUCAUUUACGUUGCUUCUAUAAAGUACUUUCUUAACCCACUCGUCUUGAAACACGGACCAAGGAGUCUAACAAAUGUGCGAGCGUAUAUAUGUUUAACUAUAACAAAGAAUGUAAAUUCUUAAUGUACGCGUAAUUAAUGUAAUUAUUUGGUAGAAUUUUAGGGUGCUUCCCUAAUUUGCAUACCAUGCCGGUUGGCGAUUAUGCUUAAUUGAGUAUGAGUAUAUUUGUUAGGACCCGAGAGGCUUUGAACUAAGCGUGAUGAGAUUGAAGUCAGACGAAAGUCUGAUGGAAGAUCGAAUUGAUACUGACGUGCAAAUCGUUCAUUUCAAUCACGUUUAGGGGCGAAAGACUAAUCGAAAAGCCUAUUAGCUGGUUAUUUUCGAAAGAUCUCUCAGGAUCGCUGGAGUUGAUUAAUAUAGUUUUACGAGGUAGAGAUAAUGAUUAGAGGA
rnacentral:rRNA from 1 species